UCCAGUCAUUGGCAGCAGAGAACUGGAAGGAGAGGCAGCCAAAGAAAGAAUUGGUUUUGGGGGUGACUAUCAUUGUGAGAACUGUAAUAGAAUGACCAAGGGGGAUUUCUUCCUUCACCAUCAUACCGGAAAGAAAAUAGCACGAGCCACAUCAGAACUGGUGACGAGAAGUCGCCUGUAGCCAGAAACUAACUGGUCGGACAUGAUGUGUGCCAACUGAGGUUCCAGGGCUUGGAAGUUGGAAAGCCACUUAAGAGAGGAGUCUGAGGCUGAUAACAUCAACAGUGAGGACAAACCCAACCUGCCUCUCUCCUUCUACACCGAGUCCAAACCUACAGUCACUGGGUCCUGAUUGUGACAGUGGAGCCCAGUUUGCACUGCAGGAUCCAGAGAUGGCAUCAGUGAAGCUGGAAGACUGCAGUCAAACACUGGGGCUGAAUGUCAACAUUAAAGAUGAAGAAGAGGAGGAGAAGAUUGGGAAACCUGUUUCUCAUGGUAAGAGCAGGUUGUAAGUUUGUUGUUCGUUCAGACUUCCCACUGUGUAUGAAAAGUUGCAGUAGAACUGUUUCAUGAUGAGCUGUUUCAAUGAGAAGGUAGAUGUUACUUCAUGCUACUGAGACUUGCAUGGCUUGACACCAGUUUUGUCAGUAUUUGUUUUAUUCACUGGGCUGUCUGGCAUGUUCAGAGAGAAGACCAUACCUAAGCAGUUUUGUCAGAACAGCUAAUAUUAGUCACUCCAUCACUUAAUUGUCAUCUCAUAAAAUAAGUGGUAACAGUGGAUUGGAUCAAAUGAAGAAAGUGUAGAACACUAUUGUCAUCCUAUAGUUCCUCACUGUGAGAGAACUGUGCAGAGGAACGGGAGUGUUAUAGAAUGUUAGCCUCUCUUUACUGAUCAGUGUGCACCUUGUCAGUUUUGGUGUGUUUUGUUAUAUGUUGUACCCCAGUAAGACUAGCUUUCUCCUUUGUCGUAAUGGGGAUCCUAAUAAAUCAAAUAAAAAGUUCAAAAAAAUCAAUCUAUCGAUAAUGGUUCUCCAUAUCGGUGCUGUUCACUAGAAACAAGUGAGUCUGAUGGUUGACUGGGUGGUGCUGCUUCCCUCUAGUUUUCUGUGGGAAUGAGCUGGUAGACACAACAUGUAUCAGAUC